GCUAUACAUGCAAGUCGAACGCACUCUCGUUUAGAUUGAAGGAGCUUGCUCCUGAUUGAUAAACAUUUGAGUGAGUGGCGGACGGGUGAGUAACACGUGGGUAACCUGCCCUAAAGUGGGGGAUAACAUUUGGAAACAGAUGCUAAUACCGCAUAAAACCUAACACCGCAUGGUGUAGGGUUGAAAGAUGGUUUCGGCUAUCACUUUAGGAUGGACCCGCGGUGCAUUAGUUAGUUGGUGAGGUAAAGGCUCACCAAGACCGUGAUGCAUAGCCGACCUGAGAGGGUAAUCGGCCACACUGGGACUGAGACACGGCCCAGACUCCUACGGGAGGCAGCAGUAGGGAAUCUUCCACAAUGGACGAAAGUCUGAUGGAGCAACGCCGCGUGAGUGAAGAAGGUUUUCGGAUCGUAAAACUCUGUUGUUGGAGAAGAAUGUAUCUGAUAGUAACUGAUCAGGUAGUGACGGUAUCCAACCAGAAAGCCACGGCUAACUACGUGCCAGCAGCCGCGGUAAUACGUAGGUGGCAAGCGUUGUCCGGAUUUAUUGGGCGUAAAGCGAGCGCAGGCGGUUUCUUAAGUCUGAUGUGAAAGCCUUCGGCUCAACCGAAGAAGUGCAUCGGAAACUGGGAAACUUGAGUGCAGAAGAGGACAGUGGAACUCCAUGUGUAGCGGUGAAAUGCGUAGAUAUAUGGAAGAACACCAGUGGCGAAGGCGGCUGUCUGGUCUGUAACUGACGCUGAGGCUCGAAAGCAUGGGUAGCAAACAGGAUUAGAUACCCUGGUAGUCCAUGCCGUAAACGAUGAGUGCUAGGUGUUGGAAGGGUUUCCGCCCUUCAGUGCCGCAGCUAACGCAUUAAGCACUCCGCCUGGGGAGUACGACCGCAAGGUUGAAACUCAAAGGAAUUGACGGGGGCCCGCACAAGCGGUGGAGCAUGUGGUUUAAUUCGAAGCAACGCGAAGAACCUUACCAGGUCUUGACAUCCUUUGACCACUCUAGAAAUAGAGCUUUCCCUUCGGGGACAAAGUGACAGGUGGUGCAUGGUUGUCGUCACCUCCGGUCCUGAGAUGUUGGGUUAAGUCCCGCAACG
rnacentral:rRNA from 1 species